rnacentral:rRNA from 1 species
GAUGAACGCUGGCGGCGUGCUUAACACAUGCAAGUCGAACGAAGCACCUUGAUUCGAUUCUUCGGAUGAAGAUCUUGGUGACUGAGUGGCGGACGGGUGAGUAACGCGUGGGUAACCUGCCUCAUACAGGGGGAUAACAGCUAGAAAUGACUGCUAAUACCGCAUAAGACCACCGCACCGCAUGGUGCAGGGGUAAAAACUCAGGUGGUAUGAGAUGGACCCGCGUCUGAUUAGGUAGUUGGUGGGGUAACGGCCUACCAAGCCGACGAUCAGUAGCCGACCUGAGAGGGUGACCGGCCACAUUGGGACUGAGACACGGCCCAAACUCCUACGGGAGGCAGCAGUGGGGAAUAUUGCACAAUGGGGGAAACCCUGAUGCAGCGACGCCGCGUGAGCGAUGAAGUAUUUCGGUAUGUAAAGCUCUAUCAGCAGGGAAGAAAAUGACGGUACCGGACUAAGAAGCACCGGCUAAAUACGUG